AAGGACAAAAAUGUAUUGAUGGAUUGUGUCACCUCUAGUAUUUCAUUUCUCCACAUGUUGGUCCAUGUGACUUUUCUGAGUCCCGGUAUUUUAUUUGUACUAGGAAGCAUCUGACUUGUGACCCAGAGAUGAACCCAGCAGUGAGGCAGAUGGGCUCUGAGUUGAGGAGGAAGUGUGCUGAAUAUUACAUGAAUUAAGAGCCAUCCUGAGGAAGGUCUUAUCAUAUACUACAGUAGCCAUCCAUCUCAUCAGCUCCACCUGUUCUACUUCCUGUUAACACUAACCAGCCAAUCACACGGCAGCAUGUUGUCAUGUAGACGUGGUGAAGACAUCUUGCUGAAGUUCAAACUGAGCAUCCGAAUAAGGAAGAAAUGUGAAUUAAAGGCUACUUUCCACCAAGGGGCUGGACUGGUACCAUUUCCACAGGCGAAAACUGGGAAGGCUGCCAGAAUAUCCAACCCGGCCUAUUUUUUUUGGACUCUUCUGGUACCGUCCCAAUCUUACCUUCUGAGUCUAAAGGGUGGAGCACUGCAAUCCGUUGACUGGUCAAAUAAUAAUAAUGGAUUAGAUUUAUAUAGCGCUUUUCGUUCUAUCAUUAUUCACUCAUACCUGGUGAUGCUAAGCUACAUGUAGCCACAGCUGCCCUGGGGCAGGCUGACGAGAACGGGGUGCCCAAUCCCCGCCUACGGCCUCUCCGACCACCACCCAACAUUAAUACACCAGCGAUAUCAACACUGAAGGCAAGGAAGGGGAAGUGUCUUGCCCAAGGAUACAACAACAGAUGAUUGGGGGAGUGGGAAUCAAACCACCAACCUUCCAAUUACUGGACGACCCGCUCUUCCACCUGAGCCAUUGCCCCACAUAAGAAUGAUUACUUCUUGUACAACUCUGCAAUGACAACAAAGGAGGGACAGCACCACGUUUAAAGGUCCAGUGUGUAAGAAUUGCUGCCAUAAAAUAACUGUA